GUUCCAGUAGCUCAGCCGGAUAGAGCAGCGGCCUUCUAAGCCGUCGGUCGGGGGUUCGAAUCCCUCCUGGAACGCCA
rnacentral:tRNA from 2 species